rnacentral:rRNA from 1 species
UACGAAGGGGGCUAGCGUUGCUCGGAAUCACUGGGCGUAAAGCGCACGUAGGCGGAUUGUUAAGUCAGGGGUGAAAUCCUGGAGCUCAACUCCAGAACUGCCUUUGAUACUGGCGACCUUGAGUCCGGGAGAGGUGAGUGGAACUGCGAGUGUAGAGGUGAAAUUCGUAGAUAUUCGCAAGAACACCAGUGGCGAAGGCGGCUCACUGGCCCGGUACUGACGCUGAGGAGCGAAAGCGUGGGGAGCGAACAGG